AGCAGCCGCGGUAAUUCCAGCUCCGAUAGCGUAUAUUAAAGUUGUUGCAGUUAAAAAGCUCGUAGUUGAAUUUCGGGGUUAGUAGGUUGGUCAUGCCUCUGGUAUGUACUGGUCUCACUGAUUCCUCCUUCCUGAUGAGCCGUAAUGCCAUUAAUUUGGUGUUGCGGGGAAUUUGGACUGUUACUUUGAAAAAUUAGAGUGUUUAAAGCAAGCUAACGCUUGAAUACAUUAGCAUGGAAUAAUGAAAUAGGACGUUCGAUCCUAUUUUGUUGGUUUCUAGGAUUGACGUAAUGAUUAAUAGGGAUAGUUGGGGGCAUUAGUAUUCAAUUGUCAGAGGUGAAAUUCUUGGAUUUAUUGAAGACUAACUACUGCGAAAGCAUUUGCCAAGGAUGUUUUCAUUAAUACAAGAACGAAAGUUAGGGGAUCGAAGACGAUCAGAUACCGUCGUAGUCUUAACCAUAAACUAUAGCCGACUAGGGAUCGGAUGAUGUUAAUUUUAU
rnacentral:rRNA from 1 species